GUGAACGCUGGCGGUAGGCCUAACACAUGCAAGUCGAACGGCAGCACAGUAAGAGCUUGCUCUUACGGGUGGCGAGUGGCGGACGGGUGAGGAAUACAUCGGAAUCUACUUUUUCGUGGGGGAUAACGUAGGGAAACUUACGCUAAUACCGCAUACGACCUACGGGUGAAAGCAGGGGAUCUUCGGACCUUGCGCGAUUGAAUGAGCCGAUGUCGGAUUAGCUAGUUGGCGGGGUAAAGGCCCACCAAGGCGACGAUCCGUAGCUGGUCUGAGAGGAUGAUCAGCCAUACUGGAACUGAAACACGGUCCAGACUCCUACGAGAGGCAGCAGUGGGGAAUAUUGGACAAUGGGCGCAAGCCUGAUCCAGCCAUACCGCGUGGGUAAAAAAGGCCUUCGGGUUGUAGAGCCCUUUUGUUGGGAAAGAAAAGCAGCAGGUUAAUACCCCGCUGUUCUGACGGUACCCAAAGAAUAAGCACCGGGUAACUUCGUG
rnacentral:rRNA from 1 species